ACGGGUGAGUAACGCGUGGGUAACCUGCCUCAUACAGGGGGAUAACAGUUAGAAAUGACUGCUAAUACCGCAUAAGCGCACAGUGCUGCAUGGCACAGUGUGAAAAACUCCGGUGGUAUGAGAUGGACCCGCGUCUGAUUAGCUAGUUGGUGGGGUAACGGCCUACCAAGGCGACGAUCAGUAGCCGGCCUGAGAGGGUGAACGGCCACAUGGGGACUGAGACACGGCCCAAACUCCUACGGGAGGCAGCAUG
rnacentral:rRNA from 1 species